rnacentral:rRNA from 1 species
AUGCCAAUUAGGGGCAGAUCCCAAUGGCCCAAGGUAAAUCCUGGAUUUGAUAUGAUCCCUCCAAAACUUACCAAGAGUGCUGGACGUCCAAGAACUAGGAGGAUAAAGAAUUACACCGAAGGUGGAACCGGUAGAAGACACAAAUGCAAAAGAUGUGGAGCAAUAGGCCAUCUUUGAAAGACAUGCAAGGAGCCUGAGAAGGAAAGUGACGUGGAUCGAGAUGCUACUCCUCCUCCGCAGUAUUUAUUUCAUAAGUCUCAUCUCUUUCACUUGUUUAUUAUUUUCAUGAUGUUACUCCUCUUCCAUGGUAUUUCUUUCAUGAUACUACUUCUUCUCACAUUGUUGCCAAAUGUCCUGCAUAUUAAUUACAAACAAUAUUGUUUUGAACGUAGGAAAAUGUCAAAGGUUGAAGCAAGCAUUGCGGCUACUUCUCCUAAGACACCAACUAAGCAAGGUACUCAACUUGAUCCUCCUACAAGUCCAGUGACAAGGCAGAGGGCAGCAACUAUUACAAUUUCUUGUACACCUCCUAGUGGAUCUACAAGGAGCAAAACUGCUGCUCCUAGCCCUCUAUGGCGAGUUUAG